AUGAUACAAGACUCUCAAAUUUUAAAAGGGGUUAGUGAUCUUUGUAGAAAACUAGUUGAAACAAAGAAGUAUACUAGUUUUCCUCUGGUGUUUCUUUUGGCGAAGCUAGCAUUGAUUUUGCCAGUUGCAACGACGACAGUUGAGAGAGCAUUUUCUGCAAUGAAAUAUAUCAAGUCUGAUUUGCGUAAUAGAAUAGGCAAUGAUUUAUUGUAUCAUUGUCUCAUUACUUAUGUUGAAAAUGAUGUAUUCCAGUCUAUUAGUAUUGAUGCUAUUAUGCAUACAUAUCAAAGUAUGCAUGAUCGUGGAGAGCUGCUACCAUAA
rnacentral:rRNA from 1 species